rnacentral:rRNA from 1 species
UACGAGGGGUGCAAGCGUUGCUCGGAAUUAUUGGGCGUAAAGGGUAGGUAGGUGGUCUCGUUUGUCAGGGGUGAAAGCCUUGGGCUCAACCCAAGAAGUGCCCCUGAAACGGCGAGACUCGAGUUCUGGAGAGGGUCGUGGAAUUCCCGGUGUAGCAGUGAAAUGCGUAGAGAUCGGGAGGAACACCAGUGGCGAAGGCGACUACCUGGACCAGCACUGACACUGAGGCACGAAAGCGUGGGGAGCAAACAGG